AUGGGGGUAAAGCACUGUUAUGGCUAGGGGGUCAUUGCGACUUACCAACCCAUGGCAAACUAAGAAUACCAUCAAGUGGUUCCUCGGGAGACAGACAUCGGGUGCUAACGUCCGGUGUCAAGAGGGAAACAACCCAGACCGCCAGCUAAGGUCCCAAAUGACAGAUUAAGUGGUAAACGAAGUGGGAAGGCCCAGACAGCCAGGAUGUUGGCUUAGAAGCAGCCAUCAUUUAAAGAAAGCGUAAUAGCUCACUGGUCGAGUCGUCCUGCGCGGAAGAUGUAACGGGGCUCAAAUCUGUAACCGAAGCUGCGGAUGCCAGUUAACUGGCAUGGUAGGGGAGCGUUCUGUAGGCCGAAGAAGGUGUGCUGAGAAGCAUGCUGGAGGUAUCAGAAGUGCGAAUGUUGACAUGAGUAGCGAUAAACAGGGUGAAAAGCCCUGUCGCCGAAAACCCAAGGUUUCCUACGCAACGUUCAUCGGCGUAGGGUGAGUCGGCCCCUAAGGCAAGGCAGAGAUGCGUAGUCGAUGGGAAACAGGUUAAUAUUCCUGUACUUGAUUCAAAUGCGAUGUGGGGACGGAGAAGGUUAGGUCAUCGAUCUGUUGGAAU
rnacentral:rRNA from 1 species